rnacentral:rRNA from 1 species
UACAGAGGGGGCAAGCGUUGUUCGGAAUUACUGGGCGUAAAGGGCGCGUAGGCGGCCCGCUAAGUCGAACGUGAAAUCCCCGGGCUCAACCCGGGAACUGCGUCCGAUACUGGUGGGCUUGAAUCCGGGAGAGGGAUGCGGAAUUCCAGGUGUAGCGGUGAAAUGCGUAGAUAUCUGGAGGAACACCGGUGGCGAAGGCGGCAUCCUGGACCGGCAUUGACGCUGAGGCGCGAAAGCCAGGGGAGCAAAGCGGG